CGAGCUGCAAUGGAGCGGAAUAGUGUGGUUAACUAUUGGGUGUACAUAUUUUUAUAGAAUGUAGGGAACUAUCAGCCAGAGAAGUAUUUAAAUCACAGCCAACUUUUAACUCCGCCCGUAACUUUUCAAAGGUUAAUAACAUUUAUAUUGACGUAAAUCGCCAAACGGCAGACUCUGCAAAUCGGUUUUCAUGUAAUUGACAAUGCGUUAGAGGCAAAACACAUUUAAAAGCAAGAUUCAUGCAAUUAACAAUUCUCCCGUGUAUCAACACUUUGGAUCAGGAAAUUAUAGUGCCAGUUGAAGCGGUAAUGAGGGGCGUGACUUGGCCACUUGCACAAUGCGAGCUGCUAACUGGACAAAGACUGCACUUUGUACCCGCCGGGCGUAUUCCGGUUCCAGAUUCCAUCACAGUGGGCUCAGGCCAUUCCAAUUUUGAUCUGAUCGCGGGUUGAGAGAGUUCAAGCAAUACACCGCCGCGGUUAGUACAGGUUCCCGUCAACUGUCUUAUGAAUAUCAAUUGAUUGCUGACGGGACAUCGAACGAAAUCCAGCGAAAAUAUAUACACUCGCCGUCUCAAUUUUUUCAUUCUGAGUCAAUCUCAUUAAUAGGAUAAGUAUAAGGUUUGUAUUGAAAUAUGUUGAGUGCUUGUUUAGAAAUGUGGUAAAAAUAAGAAAACCUCAAAUUGGUUGGUAAUCAGAAAAAAAAUCCCUACAAUUAAGUUUCUUAAAUGGUAAUUUAAAUUAUCAUGAUUGGUAAGAGAAGCGAAUGGCUUUCGGGGGCAAUGUUGCACAUUGCUAGAUGUAGGCAUUUGACGAAUGAGCACCGAUUACUUUUAACCCAUGAAGCACCAUUUAGUCCCAGCUAUGUGACAUGCAUCGAUUACAGAAACUACUUUCCAGAUACUUCCCAGCACUAACCAAAGCCAUAUGAACAAGUCAGUUACUGCAGUUUAGGUGGCUUUUUGAAUGUCAUGGGCAAUAAACUGGCCAUGGCUAUGGUGAUGGCGGUAACGAUGGCGAUGCCGAUGGACACGUAAGACUUGGGCAACUGGCUCAAUAAGCGUUGACAAAAAUGUGCCGCUUUAUUGCCGCUGCCAUUGCCUCAGCCAGCGUGAAAUUCGCUGCUGUCGCAACCGGUGAGUUGGCGUUCGUAGUUCGCUGUGUGGGUCAGUGGCACGCUUUCCGCGUUGGCCUCGCCCGGAGGCAUAGCAUCCGCGAGGUGUGGCGGCGGCACCGAGCGUUUGACUUGCGAUUUCGCUGUUUAAUUUGCAUAAUAUAUAAAAACGCUUGGGACCACGCUUCUGCAGAGGGAUGGCCAUCAGCCACAACCACUUAGCUCGGAAGAGGAGACGGAUCCCACUUAUGUAAGCGGCACGACGGAGCACAGUGCAGAGAAGAAGAUGGAAGAUACGGGAACAAAAAAACGAGGCGGCAACUCGUACUGGAACUCGUGCACACGCUCUGCGGGCGUCAUCAGCGGGCCAUCAAAAGCCAUCUUACGGUCGCAGUAUGGACCCAGCCACGGUCCUGCUAUCAGAUUGGGUUCUUAAUCGCCAUCGAACCCCUCCGACAUGUCGUUUUGGGGGCUAGGUGCCUGCACGCUAUUGUUUACACGGUUGAGUUCUGCAGCAGGUUGCAUUUUUGAAAUCAAUUAGAGCGGCUACACCCGCAAGCCAAGGCACAUGCACUCCAGCCAGAGCAAUACCGAAUAGCAAAAACGGCGUAAAUAGUUUGAUAAGCUUGCUGAUUUUAUCGCACUCACCCCAGGGGCGGGUGAGUAUGUAGAUUACACGGCGGUGACCGGGUUUUUCGUGGCAAUUGCUCGCUUAGAAAACCUAAUUAAGUGGAAAAUCGAUGCCAGGGGACCAAGAGCUCCACGGCGGAAUCGCGGAUGACGCAUUUUUGGAUGAUAAGCGUGUGUCCAUGAUGAUCCAUAUAUUAAAGCCGACAAUUCGUGGCGAUCGUGAGCGCAGAAGGCGAUAGAGGGAAAAACUAUAAAAAAAAGAUAAGCUGAGAAAGGACUUCCUUGACCUGCUGCAGGAGCGACAUGACAUCAAGAGGCACACUAGGGGGAUCCAAGGUACCGAGCACUGGACUCGGUCUAUCGUGAGGAGUACUUUGAAGACUAGCGAUCUCUUGACAAGGAUAAGGAGAAAGAUAAAGAUAAAGAGAAGGAGAAAGAUAUGGAAAACGACAAGGAUAAAGAGACGGAAAAGAACAAGAAUUAAGUGAAGGAAAAUGACAAAGAGAGCUCUCGUCGGGAAUGUACUCGAGUAACCAUAGAUGAGAUAUGUGCGAUCAACAACCGAGUCGAUAGAACCUUAUCCGUCUAAUGGAAACUAUCCCGAGUCUUUUCUAUUUCAGGACUUAUAAAAAGAAUCAAGAUAGAACGCUAUAAUCGAGUUCCUUAAGGGAGAACAUUAAUGGCACCUUUGGGCGUUAAAGUGGGCAUGAAAACAUCAGGAACCCAAAUUGCGCUGCGUCAAUGUUUC
rnacentral:sRNA from 1 species